rnacentral:rRNA from 1 species
UGGGGAAUAUUGGACAAUGGGCGAAAGCCUGAUCCAGCAAUGCCGCGUGUGUGAAGAAGGCCUUCGGGUUGUAAAGCACUUUCAGUGGGGAAGAAAAGUUUAGGGUUAAUACCCCUGAGCAUUGACGUUACCUACAGAAGAAGCACCGGCUAACUCUGUGCCAGCAGCCGCGGUAAUACAGAGGGUGCAAGCGUUAAUCGGAAUUACUGGGCGUAAAGCGUGCGUAGGUGGAUAUUUAAGUCGAAUGUGAAAGCCCCGGGCUCAACCUGGGAACUGCAUCCGAUACUGGAUAUCUGGAGUAUGGUAGAGGAAAGUGGAAUUCCCGGUGUAGCGGUGAAAUGCGUAGAUAUCGGGAGGAACAUCAGUGGCGAAGGCGACUUUCUGGAUCAAUACUGACACUGAGGCACGAAAGCGUGGGGAGCAAACAGGAUUAGAUACCCCCGUAGUCC